CCUACGGGGGGCAGCAGUGAGGAAUAUUGGUCAAUGGGCGCUAGCCUGAACCAGCGAAGCCGCGUGAAGGAUGACUGCCCUAUGGGUUGUAAACUUCUUUUAUAUGGGAGUAAAGUGCAGUAGGUAUACUGCUUUGCAUGUACCUUACGUAUAAGGAUCGGAUAACUCCGUGCCAGCCGCCGCGGUAAUACGGAGGAUCCGAGGGUUAUCCGGAUUUAUUGGGUGUGAAGGGAGCGUAGGCGGGUUGGUAAGUCAGUUGUGAAAGUUUGGGGCUCAACCGUGGAAUUGCCGUUGAUACUGGCAGACUGGAGUGCAGUAGAGGUAGGCGGAAUUCGUGGUGUAGCAGUGAAAUGCGUAGAUAUCUCGAAGAACACCGAUGGCGAAGGCAGCCUGCUGGACUGUAACUGACGCUGAGGCUCGAAAGUGUGGGUAUCAAACAGGAUUAGAUACCCUAGUAGUC
rnacentral:rRNA from 1 species